rnacentral:rRNA from 1 species
AUUGAACGCUGGCGGCAGGCCUAACACAUGCAAGUCGAGCGGAUGAAGGUAGCUUGCUCCUGGAUUCAGCGGCGGACGGGUGAGUAAUGCCUAGGAAUCUGCCUGGUAGUGGGGGAUAACGUCCGGAAACGGGCGCUAAUACCGCAUACGUCCUGAGGGAGAAAGUGGGGGAUCUUCGGACCUCACGCUAUCAGAUGAGCCUAGGUCGGAUUAGCUAGUUGGUGGGGUAAAGGCCUACCAAGGCGACGAUCCGUAACUGGUCUGAGAGGAUGAUCAGUCACACUGGAACUGAGACACGGUCCAGACUCCUACGGGAGGCAGCCGUGGGGAAUAUUGGACAAUGGGCGAAAGCCUGAUCCAGCCAUGCCGCGUGUGUGAAGAAGGUCUUCGGAUUGUAAAGCACUUUAAGUUGGGAGGAAGGGCAGUAAGUUAAUACCUUGCUGUUUUGACGUUACCAACAGAAUAAGCACCGGCUAACUUCGUG